AUGAAAGGCCACAAAGGAACCAGGCUGGAUGUUGGAAGCGAUGCUACCCCCGUCCUCACGGUCCUGCCCCCCUCUAGUCAAGAGGUGUCCGGUAAGAACGAGGCCACGCUGACGUGUCUGGCCAACAAGGGCUUCCCCUCUAACUGGAAGCUGCAGUGGACGGUGGACGGCAGCGCCAGGACCGGGGACAUGAGCCACGGAAUCCUGGACAAGGACGGCAAGUACAGCUGGAGCAACACGCUGAGCCUCUCUGCGGGCGAGUGGUCCAAGGUGGUUUCGGUGAGCUGCAAGGCCACUCGGGACUCCCAGACUCCCGUCAUCGAGACGCUCAGGAGAUCCGACUGUUCCGCGUAGACGGGCGCCCGCCCGAUUACUCUGUUUUUACUCUGUUUUUACUCUGUUCCGUGUUCCACUCUCACCUGUUUUACUAACAACACAGAGGUUAAUAAUGUGCUUUGCUUACAUGUGAAACCCUUCACCCUCAGCUUGUCACUAUUAUCUAGUGUGUCCUCUGCUUCUCUUUGACAUCAGACUGUCUGUGUUACGCUGUGUGAUCUUGUGCUUCAAUAAUAUCUGAAAUGCAGCUGAGAAUAAUAAAGAUUUUUUCAAUCAAACACA